rnacentral:rRNA from 1 species
AGCGAACGCUGGCGGCAGGCUUAACACAUGCAAGUCGAGCGGGCAUCCUUGUGGUGUCAGCGGCAGACGGGUGAGUAACGCGUGGGAACGUGCCCUUCGGUUCGGAAUAACUCAGGGAAACUUGAGCUAAUACCGGGUACGUGCGAGAGCAGAAAGGUUUAUCUGCCGAAGGAUCGGCCCGCGUCUGAUUAGCUAGUUGGUGAGGUUACGGCUCACCAAGGCGACGAUCAGUAGCUGGUCUGAGAGGAUGAUCAGCCACACUGGGACUGAGACACGGCCCAGACUCCUACGGGAGGCAGCAGUGGGGAAUAUUGGACAAUGGGGGCAACCCUGAUCCAGCCAUGCCGCGUGAGUGAUGACGGCCUUAGGGUUGUAAAGCUCUUUUCUCCGGGACGAUAAUGACGGUACCGGAGGAAUAAGCCCCGGCUAACUUCGUG